rnacentral:rRNA from 1 species
ACCAUUUUUAUAGUGACUUCCCCUUUAUAAUAGAGAUUGAUCAUCCCUAUAGAUACUUAAUUUACCUGGUAUUUUUAUGUUAAUGUGGUACAUUAUAAAAUAAGUNNNNNNNNNNNGUAAUCAAGUAAUGGAAAAUACAUUAUGUUAACAAAACAAUUCUGUUUCUGUUUGUCUACCUUUUGCAUAAGUGUUUUACUAAAAAGUAAUUUAAAUAUUAAUCUACUCGAAUCAAAUUUUAUGAUCUAAUAAGUAAAUCGGUUUCAGAAUUAUUAUAUCUUGGUACAAAAAAUAUUUUGUGGCAUCAAAAUUAAUAUCUAUAAAUUUUUAUUAGGGGUGAAAAACCUUUCAAAUUUUGUGAUAACUGGAUAGCGGGGAAAAGUAUUUAGUACUUUAAACAGUAUAAAAUUGUUUAGAAUUUUAUAUAUUCAGAAAAUUAUAUAUUCUAAUGUUAAAAGUAUAAGUAAAACUUGUUAUUUUACUAAUGCUUAUAGCAUUUAUCACUGAUGACAGCUAACACUGUAUUUGUUCAUUUAUCAACAUAAGUAUGUAUAUAGUAAUAAAUUUAAUUCUGCAAAAUUACCCGCCAAAAUUUGAUCUUAUGUUACUUGAUAUUAUUAUUGGAUAAAUAGUGAGAAUUUCGUAAUAUUAAUAAUGUAAAAAUUAGUAAAAUUUUUAAAUAUUUUUUAUUGAACUCGGCAAAUCAACUAUUCAACUGUUUAUCAAAAACAUAGUCGGCAGAUGAAAUAAAUUUUAUUGUCGAUAUCUUCUGCCCGGUGUUUAUAUAAACGGCCGCAGUACCUUGACUGUGCUAAGGUAGCAUAAUCAAUUGGCUAUUAAUUGUAGUCUAGUAUGAAUGAAGUAAUGAAUAGUAGCUAUAAUAAAAAAAUAUUAUUUUAAUUUAAUGAACUGGUGAAAAUACCAAUAUAUAGAAAAAAGACGAGAAGACCCUUAGAGUUUUUGAAAUAAAGAUUGUUUAAGACUUUAAUUUGAUACUACUCUUAAAGUAAUUAUACAAUACACUUUUUUGUUGGGGCGACAAGAAAGCAAUAUAACCUUUCUAUUGACACUAAAAGUGGUCAUAGAUUUGACGAGUAUUAUUAUGGGUGACUAAACUACCUGAGGGAUAACAGCAUAAUGAUACAUAUUAGUUUGAGACCUCGAUGUGGGACUACGAGGAUGAUUGUUCACUAACCGUGAUAAAAGCUUGUUCUGUUCGAACAAUAAACCCCUACAUGAUCUGAGUUCAGACCGGCGUAAGCCAGGUCAGUUUCUAUCUUUUGUUGAUUUAUUUUUAGUACGAAAGGACCGGAAUAAAUAUUAUUAAUAAUAAAAAUUAAAAAAAAAAAAAAAAAUGAUUUAGAAUCAGUAGAUGGUGGUCACAUCAG